rnacentral:lncRNA from 1 species
UGUCUUGGCCGAACGCAGCAUUUACAAAGCCAUUCACAAAGGAGGAGGCCAAAUUCAUCCGGGCUGAGUCCACUUGGGAACCACUGCCCCCAAACCGGUUAUUUUCCAGGUGGGUUUUGUAAAUAUCAUCUGGUACUUUGGGCUCCAUGAUGUCCAGCUCUCUGGCCAAGGCCAGGAAGUUGCUGUUGAGUUGGACAUUGGACAUGAUCUCAGUCAGGUCCUCAUACUCCUCCACAUCCUCAUUAAGCUCCAGGAAGACCCCAUGGCGGCCCAGCAUAAAGGCCAUCUGCUUCUGGACAACUACAUCUUUGCAGGAGGUGAAGAUGUCCUCCACCAGCUCCACGUCGUUGAGCAUCAGAGCCAGGCGCAGGGCUUCAGGGUAACGGUUGAACUUGCGGAAAAUGCCCAGGGCACAGCGUAGAAGAGCAGAGUUCUCAGGCUCUGGGACAUAGCUUACGCAGCUGGUCAGGUAGAGGCACACUUUCGAGUAGGCGUUGUCAUCGAUGUACUUCUCCAGCAUGUCCAUCUGCUCGAUCUCCAUGAGCAGGUCACAAGCCUCGUGCUCUGCAUUGUGAGCCAUGUUGUAAGGGACGAUCUCCUUGACCAGGGUGAGGAGCGUGUCCCUCUGUGCCUUGUCGGCUUCAUCAAUCUCCUGCCACUCCUUGGCCACCUCCCCUGCCAGGUGCCUGACGUAUUCAUGCCCCCACGAUGCCAGCUCCUCCUGAGAGCCCACCAGGCGGUACUUCAGACACUCACGCUCCCCACUCAUGGUCAUAGCCAGGACAGAAAUGAUGUCUGCUGCAAAGCGCUUGUUCUCCCCGGGGGCCAUGUUCUCAUAGAUCUCCUUCAGCUUGCCAUAGUGCGGUCGGAGGAACUUGAGGGGCUUGGGGACGGAAGUCAUGGAGGUGGUGGAGGAACGGAUCUGCCUGCGCAGCUCCUCCAGUGCCGGGCGAUAGAGAGACGUGUCCUUCUCCCCGAGGCGCUCCACCAGCAUCUCCAGCUCAUCCUGCAGCUGUUUGUCCUCCUCCGACAGUUCCUGUUCCUUCUCGGGCCCCGCGGGCGGAUCCCGGCGAUCCCGGCCCCACAGCGGUGCGGGCUUCUCGUCACCACCCGACCCCGGCCCGCCCUGCACCCGGCUCUGCCCGCCGCCGCCGCCCGCGUCCAUGGCCGCUCCGCCGCACACCGGCCACGCUCCGCGCCUGCGCCCGGCCCGAGCCCGCAGCCAAUCGCAGUCCGUCGUCUUCG